rnacentral:rRNA from 1 species
GACGAACGCUGGCGGCGUGCUUAACACAUGCAAGUCGAACGAGAAAGCCCUUCGGGGUAAGUACAGUGGCGAACGGGUGUGUAACACGUGGGCAACCUGCCCCAGUGAGCGGGACAACCCGGGGAAACCCGGGCUAAUACCGCAUGAUGCGUCUCCACUUAAGUGGAGCCGCCAAAUGGUAGCUUCGGCCUCCGCUCUGGGAUGGGCCCGCGCCGGAUUAGCUAGUUGGUUGGGGUAACGGCCCACCAAGGCGACGAUCCGUAGCUGGUCUGAGAGGACGAUCAGCCACACUGGGACUGAGACACGGCCCAGACUCCUACGGGAGGCAGCAGUGGGGAAUCUUGCGCAAUGGGCGAAAGCCUGACGCAGCAACGCCGCGUGGGGGAAGAAGGCCUUCGGGUUGUAAACCUCUUUCAGUAGGGACGAAGCUUCCGGGGUUAAUAGCCUACGGGGUGACGGUACCUACAGAAGAAGCCCCGGCUAACUACGUGCCAGCAGCCGCGGUAA